AACGAACGCUGGCGGCAGGCUUAACACAUGCAAGUCGAACGGAUCCUUCGGGAUUAGUGGCAGACGGGUGAGUAACGCGUGGGAACGUACCCUUUGCUACGGAAUAACUCAGGGAAACUUGAGCUAAUACCGUAUGUGCCCUACGGGGGAAAGAUUUAUCGGCAAAGGAUCGGCCCGCGUUGGAUUAGCUAGUUGGUGGGGUAAUGGCCUACCAAGGCGACGAUCCAUAGCUGGUCUGAGAGGAUGGUCAGCCACACUGGGACUGAGACACGGCCCAGACUCCUACGGGAGGCAGCAGUGGGGAAUAUUGGACAAUGGGCGCAAGCCUGAUCCAGCCAUGCCGCGUGAGUGAUGAAGGUCUUAGGAUUGUAAAGCUCUUUCACCGGUGAAGAUAAUGACGGUAGCCGGAGAAGAAGCCCCGGCUAACUUCGUG
rnacentral:rRNA from 1 species